rnacentral:lncRNA from 1 species
UGAAUUGAUAAAGCAAUAUUUUAAUGUGAGUCUUGCCAGCUAGUCGCAUAUGUUUACUUUUAUUCACAUGUAUUUAUUUUUGACAAUGUUUAAAACGUCUUGAAUUCUGAAUAUCUAGUUGGCCUUACUUGUUCAUUAUAGUACAAAAGAAGAAUGAUUUUGAACCGUUUAUACCUUAAAUUUACACAGAAGUAGCAUAAUGGUGAUAGUUUUACCUUAUAACCAAUAUAUUGUUUUGAUAAGAGAAAGGGAAAUAAAAGAUGAAGAACACACAAAUUAGUAUUAUUUGGUGAAAAUCCACUAUUGGUUUUUUUUUUAAUUUAAAAAGGUCUAUACACAUGAUACAUGUAUACGCAAACUUUAUGUUGGUACAAAAUAAACUUAUUAUGUAAAAAAACUAUCUGGAAAAAGAAUGAAAUAUGUGAUUAGAUUAGAAACGCAAAACCCACCUUUGUCAUUGUUUGUUGAUGUUUAAAAGAAUAUUUAGUUUUUAUAGUACAUUGUAUAUUUUUAUAUAUUAAUAUAUUGUCUUUAUAGUAGAAAUGUGAAUGUACAUUGUUUAUCUCCCUGUAUAAUUCUUUUUUCACUAUAAGGUAUAGGUAGGGUUUGGGGGAUUGAGGGAUUUGCAUUCAAAAAUAUUUUUUUUUGUCAUAUUCUUGACCAGAAUAUUUUUUUUCUUCAAAAUGGUGAUCAGAAUAUUACUCAAAACAACCAAUACAAUCCUUUUUAACAUAUUUAUUUGUUUCUAUUAUGAAUUGGUGUUCAGGGUGUAG